UACGGAGGGGACUAGCGUUGUUCGGAAUUACUGGGCGUAAAGCGCACGUAGGCGGAUUUGUAAGUCAGGGGUGAAAUCCCGGGGCUCAACCUCGGAACUGCCUUUGAUACUGCAAAUCUCGAGUCCGGAAGAGGUGAGUGGAAUUCCUAGUGUAGAGGUGAAAUUCGAUAGAUAUUAGGUAAGGAAACACCAACGUGGGCG
rnacentral:rRNA from 1 species